AACUCACUCAGUCGAAAACGGAGUGUCAGACGAGGCGGUUCACUGAUUGCCACUUAGCUAGCAUUCAACUUACUUGUUAGAUCAAGCGCGGACCUAGAAACAACAUCACUUUUUUUUGUUUUAAUCCCCAUAUAAAACAUAUUUUUUUUGUUGUUUGAGUUCGCGAGUUUUUCACCCAGAAGAGAAAUGACAAUCUAUGGGCUGUUGGUGCAGAUCAUAAUCGUUUGUAACUAGCCAUCUGAAGAGUCCCACUUCCGAGGAGGAGCAGCCAUGGCACCGCCCCAAGAGCAGCCGGAGGAUGAUAUUAUCACCAAGAUACCCUCGAUAAUUGGAUUCCUGAACUUGGACUGACUGGCGACAAUUGGAUGACUUUGGCCCCCCUUUUACCCCAAAUUCGAUGAGCUGACCAGCUGACCUAGAGAGCCAAGGCUGAAGUGCUGAAUCAUGAGAAUUAUAGCUAGAAAUCUGUCAUAAUCUUACGGCUAACGACAAACGCUUAAAUAAACCAGCAAUGUGAGCAAAGAUA